rnacentral:rRNA from 1 species
GACGAACGCUGGCGGCGUGCUUAACACAUGCAAGUCGAACGGAAAGGCCCUGCUUUUGUGGGGUGCUCGAGUGGCGAACGGGUGAGCAACACGUGAGUAACCUGCCCUUGACUUUGGGAUAACUUCAGGAAACUGGGGCUAAUACCGGAUAGGAGCUCCUGCUGCAUGGUGGGGGUUGGAAAGUUUCGGCGGUUGGGGAUGGACUCGCGGCUUAUCAGCUUGUUGGUGGGGUAGUGGCUUACCAAGGCUUUGACGGGUAGCCGGCCUGAGAGGGUGACCGGCCACAUUGGGACUGAGAUACGGCCCAGACUCCUACGGGAGGCAGCAGUGGGGAAUAUUGCACAAUGGGCGGAAGCCUGAUGCAGAAACGCCGCGUGCGGGAUGACGGCCUUCGGGUUGUAAACCGCUUUCGCCUGUGACGAAGCGUGAGUGACGGUAAUGGGUAAAGAAACACCGGCUAACUACGC